GAUGAAGAACGUAGCGAAAUGCGAUAAGUAAUGUGAAUUGCAGAAUUCAGUGAAUCAUCGAAUCUUUGAACGCCCAUUGCGCCCCCUGGUAUUCCGGGGGGCAUGCCUGUUCGAGCGUCAUUUCACCACUCAAGCCUCGCUUGGUAUUGGGCGACGCGGUCCGCCGCGCGCCUCAAAUCGACCGGCUGGGUCUUUCGUCCCCUCAGCGUUGUGGAAACUAUUCGCUAAAGGGUGCCGCGGGAGGCCACGCCGUAAAACAACCCCAUUUCUAAGGUUGACCUCGGAUCAGGUAGGGAUACCCGCUGAACUUAAGCAUAUCAAUAAGCGGAGGA
rnacentral:misc_RNA from 1 species